AGAGAGGGAUACAGAGAGAGAGAGAGAGAGAAGGGGAAAGGCACAGCCAAGAGAGCAAUAACCCCAACCCUGGAGAGAGAGAAGGUGAGAGGCACAGAGAGAGAGAGAGAGAGAGAGAGUUUGGCAGCUCAGCUGUUUUGUUGUCUUGUCGGAUGUGGAGGAGAGUGGACACAGAGUGGCCCACCUGUUCAGGAUCCACAGUGAAAAUGUCCAGAAGGACAGAUGAGAAGGGCAAUUGAAACCAACGAAACAUGACGACGGCCGUGACGUGUGAGGAAGACCGAUCCAUGAUGAGCCAAGACAGCUCCAGUCCUCGGCCAGGCAGCCCUUUGUCUCUUAAAGA